rnacentral:rRNA from 1 species
GAUGAACGCUGACAGAAUGCUUAACACAUGCAAGUCGAUGGGGAAGUGGUGCUUGCACCAUGGUAACCAUGGCGGACGGGUGAGUAACGCGUAAGGAACUUACCUGCGGGACCGGGAUAACAGCAGGAAACUGCUGACAAGACCGGAUAAGGUCAUUAAGCUGCAUAGCUUAGUGAUGAAAGGAGACGCCUGCGGAGAGCCUUGCGUCCUAUUAGCUAGUUGGAGGGGUAACGGCCCACCAAGGCGAAGAUAGGUAGCCGGCCUGAGAGGGUGGACGGCCACAAGGGGACUGAGAUACGGCACUUACUCCUACGGGAGGAAGCAGUGGGGAAUAUUGGACAAUGGGGGCAACACUGAUCCAGCAAUUCUGUGUGCACGAAGACGGUUUUCGGAUUGUAAAGUGCUUUCAGCAGGGAAGAAGGAAGUGACGGUACCUGCAGAAGAAGCGACGGCUAAAUACGUG